rnacentral:rRNA from 1 species
GACGAACGCUGGCGGCGUGCCUAAUACAUGCAAGUAGAACGCACAGUUUAUACCGUAGCUUGCUACACCAUAGACUGUGAGUUGCGAACGGGUGAGUAACGCGUAGGUAACCUGCCUGGUAUCGGGGGAUAACUAUUGGAAACGCUAGCUAAUACCGCAUAAUAUUAAUUAUUGCAUGAUAAUUAAUUUAAAGGUUCAAUUUCACCACUACCAGAUGGACCUGCGUUGUAUUAGCUAGUAGGUGAGGUAACGGCUCACCUAGGCGACGAUACAUAGACGACCCGAGAGGGUGAUCGGGCACACUGGGACUGAGAAACGGCCCAGACUCCUACGGGAGGCAGCAGUAGGGAAUCUUCGGCAAUGGACGAAAGUCUGACCGAGCAACGCCGCGGGAGUGAAGAAGGUUUUCGGAUCGUAAAGCUCUGUUGUAAGAGAAGAAAGGGUGUGAGAGUGGAAAGUUCACACUGUGACGGUAUCAUAACAGAAAGGGACGGCUAACUACGUG